rnacentral:rRNA from 1 species
GAUGAACGCUAGCUACAGGCUUAACACAUGCAAGUCGAGGGGAAACGGCAUUAAGUGCUUGCACUUUUUGGACGUCGACCGGCGCACGGGUGAGUAACGCGUAUCCAACCUUCCCAUGACUAAGGGAUAACCUGCCGAAAGGCAGACUAAUACCUUAUGGUCUUCACUGACGGCAUCAGAUGUGAAGUAAAGAUUUAUCGGUUAUGGAUGGGGAUGCGUCUGAUAGCUUGUUGGCGGGGUAACGGCCCACCAAGGCAACGAUCAGUAGGGGUUCUGAGAGGAAGGUCCCCCACAUUGGAACUGAGACACGGUCCAAACUCCUACGGGAGGCAGCAGUGAGGAAUAUUGGUCAAUGGGCGAGAGCCUGAACCAGCCAAGUAGCGUGCAGGAUGACGGCCCUAUGGGUUGUAAACUGCUUUUGUAUGGGGAUAAAGUCAAUCACGUGUGAUUGUUUGCAGGUACCAUACGAAUAAGGACCGGCUAAUUCCGUG